UACGUAGGGUGCAAGCGUUGUCCGGAAUUAUUGGGCGUAAAGAGCUCGUAGGCGGUCUGUCGCGUCUGCUGUGAAAACUCGGGGCUUAACCCCGGGCCUGCAGUGGGUACGGGCAGACUAGAGUGCGGUAGGGGAGACUGGAAUUCCUGGUGUAGCGGUGAAAUGCGCAGAUAUCAGGAAGAACACCAACGGCGAAGGCAGCUCGCUGGGACGGAACUGACGCUAAGGCGCGAAAGCGUGGGAGCGAACAGG
rnacentral:rRNA from 1 species